rnacentral:rRNA from 1 species
GAUGAACGCUGGCGGCGUGCCUAAUACAUGCGAGUCGAGCGAACAGACGAGGAGCUUGCUCCUCUGACGUUAGCGGCGGACGGGUGAGUAACACGUGGAUAACCUACCUAUAAGACUGGGAUAACUUCGGGAAACCGGAGCUAAUACCGGAUAAUAUAUUGAACCGCAUGGUUCAAUAGUGAAAGACGGUUUUGCUGUCACUUAUAGAUGGAUCCGCGCCGCAUUAGCUAGUUGGUAAGGUAACGGCUUACCAAGGCAACGAUGCGUAGCCGACCUGAGAGGGUGAUCGGCCACACUGGAACUGAGACACGGUCCAGACUCCUUCGGGAGGCAGCAGUAGGGAAUCUUCCGCAAUGGGCGAAAGCCUGACGGAGCAACGCCGCGUGAGUGAUGAAGGUCUUCGGAUCGUAAAACUCUGUUAUUAGGGAAGAACAAAUGUGUAAGUAACUAUGCACGUCUUGACGGUACCUAAUCAGAAAGCCACGGCUAACUACGUG